UUCGAAAAUUCAAUUUGAUUUCUCUUCCGUUGGAAGUCAAUCUCAAGGCAUUGAAUUUUAUGAAAAAAUUUCGAGAAAAUGAAAUUGGAAUCAGUUGUGGAGGAUUUUUUAUUCUUUCUACAAAAUUUCCAAUUCAGAUGUACCAAUCGCUGUAUAGUGUAUUUAAUAUAUUACUUCAGAUACGAGAUAUUUUUGAAGGAAUCGACAAAUCUUGUAAACCAAUCACAAAACCAUUAAUUAAUGCGACUAAAAGUCCCAACUCUUAGUUGAAUAUCGUAUAAUAUAGAAAAAGUUACACAAAUAGCAUUAUUAUCUUAUACAAAUUGUAUAAAUUUCAUGUAUUUUUGAAUAGUAGAUUAAUUAACUGAUUCAGCAAAGUGAGUCCUCUGCACAAGAAGCUUGUUAAUCUACCAUUACGUCAGAAUCUCUCGUAUCAGUAUAGAAUAGCAUUGAGAUCGCCACAUAAAUCGUAAUACGUGGUUUAUAAAUUUUGUAUU